CGCCUCUGUGUUGCCAGUCCACCUUGCAAGUGGUGGACUCGGUGUCAAACGAGGCAGAAAGAAAAGCCCCGGGUAGGUCCACCUGCCCAAGACCCGCCCGAGGUCACGGGCCCGGAACUGCCCGGGAACAGGC